AAGAGAGCUCAAACUAGUUCAAAGUUCUUGACAAUGUAUAGGUAAAUUUCUUGAUUAAUGACGAUGUGUUUGGGUUUUCUGAUGAAUAAACCAGAACUUUCUGUCAGCUACCUAGAUGCGAAAGCGUGCACGAGUGAUUUCUCUUCUUGAUUAUGAAGUGUAUGGCAAAAGUCUUUCUAAUUGGGAAAGUUGGGGUCGGUUGUCACACGAGGACCAACAUUUACCGAAGUAAGCCAGUCUGAGAAGUAAACCUUUUUUUUUUUCUGUGUUUGUUCUGUGCUAAUAGAUAGAUGCUAUCUGAAACUUUUUUAAUAUUGGCAUUUUAGUCGUCAUUCAAUUUGUUAUUAAGAAAUUCUUCUCAAGGGCGUUGGUAGUCUUAGGUAUAUCAUGGCCUUCACCAUUUAGAUGAAAUAAAUUUCAACUUUGUAUACAUUUUACAUACAUGUUGCUGGGAAAUGGUUUUUUGUGUUUUGAUGCCGUUCUCUUUUUGAUAAAAAUUCAUAUGAAGAAAGGACACAAAUUCCCUGUGUUGUCUACAAACAAAACCCCAGGUUUGGAAAGAUUUACAUCUGAAGAAGAAGCUAACUGCGUAGAGGAAGGAAGAAAGCCGGCUUGGAUCGACGAGGAGGAGAUCUAGAUAGUCGUUGACAUUUAAAGAUAAAUGGAUAGAAAAAGAAAAGAGAAUGAGGGCUUUAUUUUAGCAACUGAUUGUGUUAGUAGGUUAAAGCUCCAAUCUGCUAGGUUAAAUCUGGGUACAGAAUGGGCUGGUUUAGGUAGAGGAAAAAAAUUAGAGGUUUAGUGUUUGGACCUGAUGAUUCUGAUGAGUACGGAAGUUUAUGGGUUAGGUUUAGUGAUGCUUUAUUCAACAAAUUUUUCUAACCUAUAUCCGGGAUGACCGAAUUAUUUUUACCUGGAUCAACUGCGCUGGUGUGAAUCCCUGCUAGAGUAACAAGCUAAUGCUGAGGAUCAAGGAUCAAUUCCUGCAAAGCAAAAUCUAUGCCCUAACUGAGGACAUAUACUGUUUCUUAUGCAUUGUGGCUUUCAUGUGCUUAUUUUAAUGAUUUGAAUGAUAAUUGUGACAAGCAAACUCAGUACCCAUAUUUUUUGUAUUGGGGCAUUCUUGCAAGUGGGUGGAGAUUACAGCGCGCCUAUCUAGGCACAUUGAUAAUUACCCACAUCAAGAUAAAACUGACGUGCAUGGGAAUCGACCUUCUGAUCCAUCAACCUAAUGUAGAUAUCCAUUCGCCUGAGUAUCCAGUGGAAGCUAAAAUUUCUAAUCUUUUGCGUGAAGUCAAGGAAAUCACAGAGAACAAUGUGCAAUGUUCGGCUGUAAAAUUGGACGCAAUGUCGAUAUUGGGCUCAACAACAAAUCAAUGAGAAACAUUCGAGGAUGACAAGUUGAAACAUCCAAUUACAAAAUUCCUUCCAGUUUGGGAUUCGAUGCCAUCUUCAUUUUAAUGGAGGUGAUGAUACCAGUUCCAACCCUGGGUCUCUCUUUUCUUUUGAAAUGGAAAGCUCCUGCGAAUGCAACGACAUGCUGCUGCCACGAAAAAGGCAAGCUACGCCAUUGAUUUGCAGGGUGAUGAAGAUUUGUGGGAGCUUGGUAAUUUUGUAGGUUUCAAUCUCACUCUUGAGGUUGCUUCUAUAGAGAGUUUGGUUCCCUCCUACAAUACUUAAGCUGCCUUGGAAGUCCCAAAAUUUGUGUGAAAACAGUCAUCAAGCAGCAGUGCCUCACCAUAUGGAUAUGCUGGUCAUGAGUUUGAUCCUCACUCCCUACAAAGCUCAUACUCGGCUAUGUGCACAAGGCAUAUAUCCCUCCUGGCCAUGGGAGGGAGCUAAUGGCUCCAUGGAUUUUGAUGUUGCUCGAUAAUUGGUAAAAAAAAGAGGAGAGAACAUUGCUGGUGAAACUCCCUUGAAGGAAGUAUACAAGAAGGGGCUUGCAGCAAGCUUGUCAAAAGACAAUAAUAAUUGGCUGUGAAAAAUCAAGAUCUUAACUUUAAGGAAAAAGUCCCUGUUCCCCAGGAGGGUUUCUAAGGCAUCUUUUAUGAGUGUGUUUUUUCUGGUUCUGUGGUUAAAUCUAACAGACUUCACCAUUCCAUACUCCAAGUGCGUGCUUAAAUUGUUUGAAUAUUACUGUUUGUUAGGUGGUACAUUAUUCCUAAGCUUACACAGUUUUGCAUGGCCAUUUUUAUUUCUUAUACCAAGUUCCUCUUUUCCUUUUUUGUUUUCAUUUGAAUAUGUAGUCUGCAAAAUGUUGGCCAAGGAUGGGAUUGUUGAGAUGAGGCAUGAGCUGUAGGUUGAGAUGGGCAAAUUACUUGUGGCCUUAUUGUAAACGAGGAGUCUUAUCAGACAUGGAAAGAAAACUCGUCAUUGAGCUUAGGUAAAAACAAACAAUUCAGUUUUUAUUUUUA